GCGGAAACACCGGUUCUCAUACAAUCACCGAAGUUAAGCAACGUCAAGCCUGGUCAGUAUCUAGAUGGGUGGCAGCUUAGGAAUACCAGGUGCUGUAAU